UGGGGAAUAUUGGACAAUGGGCGCAAGCCUGAUCCAGCCAUGCCGCGUGAGUGAUGAAGGCCCUCGGGUUGUAAAGCUCUUUCACCGGUGAAGAUAAUGACGGUAACCGGAGAAGAAGCCCCGGCUAACUUCGUGCCAGCAGCCGCGGUAAUACGAAGGGGGCUAGCGUUGUUCGGAAUUACUGGGCGUAAAGCGCACGUAGGCGGACAUUUAAGUCAGGGGUGAAAUCCCAGAGCUCAACUCUGGAACUGCCUUUGAUACUGGGUGUCUUGAGUAUGGAAGAGGUAAGUGGAAUUCCGAGUGUAGAGGUGAAAUUCGUAGAUAUUCGGAGGAACACCAGUGGCGAAGGCGGCUUACUGGUCCAUUACUGACGCUGAGGUGCGAAAGCGGGGGGAGCAAACAGG
rnacentral:rRNA from 1 species